AUCAUCCAUACAUCGAUUCAUUUGUCCUGAAAGAUUUCUUCUAAAGAUUGACUUUCAGGGCAUAUUUCCAACAAUUUCAUCACUUUAACCUCCACUCCAUGCACUCAUUGCUGCACCAUUCCAUGAACCCUUCAAUGAAUCAUUUCAGUACCACUCCAUUGAAUCAUUGCUGCACACACCACUCCAUUUACCCUCCUAUGCCAUUCAUCAUUACUUCAUUUUCACCUUUGAAUCUUUUCAGCACCACUUCAUUGAAUCAUUGCUACACACACCAUUCCAUUUUCUCCUACAAAUGCCAUGCACUUCCUCUAUAAAAUAAGGGGUGUGUAACAGCCAUAGGGCAGAUUUUGUUAGAGCAUUCACCACCAUUUCAACACAACCUUCAUCUAAACACAUCCAUUCAUCUUCACAUCCAUUCCUCCAUAGAAACAAACCUUCAAACACUCACCAACACCUUGUGCCCCAUAGCAAAGGAAGGGAAGGAAAGUGCUUGGACGUGCUUGCUAUUCACUUGGAUCGUUGGAGCGUUUAGGUGUUUUCUUUCUUUUGUUUUCAAUGUUUAAAUUCAUUUUCUUUCAUUUUGUUGUGAACAUGAGUGGCUAAACCCCUCUUGGCUAGGGGUGAUUUCAAAGCCAUGAUUAUGUGUGCAAUAUGAUUUGAUAAAUUUCAGUUUUGAAUUCUUGAAUCGUGAAUGCAAUUGGUUUAACUAUUUGAUUGAUAACUUAUUUGUAUUUGUUAAUUAAGGGUCGACACUUAAAUGGCAUGCAUAAAUCCGUUGCUAGAAUAUAAGGAAGUUUCACAUAAUCGUUACAAACGUUUAUUCACAUGUAGUGAAGGUCGCUUAUAAACGAUCGCGUUAAGUUCAAUUCCUAGCAUGAGUGACAUGAUGUCAUAGUUGCAAGAGCUCUAUCAAUGCUUAUGAUUUUCAUUAAACGUAAUGAUCUUUGAUUGUAUCUCUAUUAUGAUGUCAUGUAGGGAACUUUUGAAGAAUGUUUUGGGUUGUUCAUGCGAAAAUUAACUUAACACACAAAUUUAACCUUCUUUUGACAAUUGUAGUACAAGUAUAAGUAGAGAUCAUUCUGGACCGGGGAUUAGGAGGGCUUGCUAAUAACCUCUAAACUGACUCAAAAACAUAAAACUAAACUUAAAAACACUUAACAAGACUCACAAGACUCAAAGCAAACUUAAAAUACUCAAAACAGCUUAAAACAACCAAAUAAACAUAAACUAGACACUAGGAAUGACUUUGGACGAAAAUUGACUUUCACUUGAAUCAAAACACUUAAAAACACAAGCUAAAACAAAUUUGAAACACUUUGAAAGAAAAAACUAAAAGGGGGGGUUUUGAUUUGGAUGAAGUUGAAACAAAUAAACAAGUAUGAAAAUCUAGACAAAUUGUAAAAUUAUUUUGAGAAAUAAGAUGAUGGAUGGGAUAGCUAGAGGCUUUUUCUCCACACAUGACAUGUAUGCAAACAACUUGAUUUCCAAUUACCACUUCAUUGAAUUAUGAACGACAAUGCCCCAAAUUAACUGUGACAUCACUAGUUAACCCUCAGAUUUUCCUUGUUUUAUUGGAUUGGAUGACAUCAUUUGACAACCCAAAACAUUCUUUAAAAGUUCCCUACAUGACAUCAUAAUAGAGAUACAAUCAAAGAUCAUUGCGUUUAAUGAAAAUCUUAGGCAUUGACAAAGCACUUGCAACUAUAACAUCAUGUCACUCAUGCUAGGAAUUAAACUUAACACGAUCAUUUAUAAGCGACCUCCACUACAUGUGAAUAUAAGUUUGUAACGAUUAUGUGAAACUUCCUUAUAUUCUAGCAACGGAUUUAUGCAUGCCAAUUAAGUGUCGACCCUUAAUUAACAAAUACAAAUAAGUUAUCAAUCAAAUAGUUAAGCCAAUUGCAUUCACGAUUCAAAAGUUCAUAACUGGAAUUUAUCAAAUUAUAUUGCACACAUAAUCAUGGCUUUGAAAUCACCCCUAGCCAAGAGAGGUUUAGCCACUCAUAUUUAUAACAAAACGAAAGGAAAUGAAUUUAAACAUUAGAAACAAAAGAAAGAAAACAUCUAAACGCUCCAACGAUCCAAGUUCGACAGCAAGCACGUCCAAGCACUUUCCUUCCCUUCCUUUGCUAUGGGGCACAAGGUGUUGGUGAGUGUUUGAAGGUUUGUUUGUAUGGAGGAAUGGAUGUGAAGAUGAAUGGAUGUGUUUGGAUGAAGGUUAUGUUGAAAUGGGAGUGAAUGAUCUCACAAAGUAUGAACUAAAUUUAUGUUACACACACUUCCUUUUAUAGAGGAAGUGCAUGGCAAUGGAG
rnacentral:lncRNA from 1 species